UACGGAGGGUGCAAGCGUUGUCCGGAUUUAUUGGGUUUAAAGGGUACGUAGGCGGGCUUACAAGUCAGUGGUGAAAGCCUUCCGCUCAACGGAAGAAUUGCCAUUGAAACUGAAAGUCUUGAGUGCGGUAGAGGUAGGCGGAAUUUAUGGUGUAGCGGUGAAAUGCAUAGAUACCAUAAAGAACACCGAUAGGGGAGCCAGCUUACUGGACCGUAACUGACGCUGAGGUACGAAAGCAUGGGUAGCAAACAGG
rnacentral:misc_RNA from 1 species